rnacentral:rRNA from 1 species
UAUGUGUGUGCAGCAGCCGCGGUAAUACGUAGGGAGCGAGCGUUGUCCGGAAUUACUGGGUGUAAAGGGAGCGUAGGCGGGAUCGCAAGUCAGAUGUGAAAACUAUGGGCUUAACCCAUAAACUGCAUUUGAAACUGUGGUUCUUGAGUGAAGUAGAGGUAAGCGGAAUUCCUAGUGUAGCGGUGAAAUGCGUAGAUAUUAGGAGGAACAUCAGUGGCGAAGGCGGCUUACUGGGCUUUAACUGACGCUGAGGCUCGAAAGCGUGGGGAGCAAACAGG